AUUGAACGCUGGCGGCAGGCCUAACACAUGCAAGUCGAACGGUAACAGGAAGAAGCUUGCUUCUUUGCUGACGAGUGGCGGACGGGUGAGUAAUGUCUGGGAAACUGCCUGAUGGAGGGGGAUAACUACUGGAAACGGUAGCUAAUACCGCAUAACGUCGCAAGACCAAAGGGGGGGACCUUCGGGCCUCUUGCCAUCGGAUGUGCCCAGAUGGGAUUAGCUAGUAGGUGGGGUAACGGCUCACCUAGGCGCCGAUCCCUAGCUGGUCUGGGAGGAUGACCCGCCACACUGGAAAUGAGACACGGUCCAGACUCCUACGGGAGGCAGCAGUGGGGAAUAUUGCACAAAGGGCGGAAGCCUGAUGCAGCCAUGCCGCGGGGAUGAAGAAGGCCUUCGGGUUGGAAAGUACUUUCAGCGGGGAGGAAGGGAGUAAAGUUAAUACCUUUGCUCAUUGACGUUACCCGCAGAAGAAGCACCGGCUAACUCCGUG
rnacentral:rRNA from 1 species